GUGCUCGCUUUGGCAGCACAUAAUACUAAAAAUGUGGACAAUACAGAGAUUAGCAUGGCCCCUGUACAAGGAUGACAUGCAGAUUCAUAAAGCAUUCCAUAUUCAA
ensembl:snRNA U6 U6 spliceosomal RNA